CCUCUUCCCUUUCUUCCUUUCUCCCUUCCUUUCCUUUCCUCUCCCUUCCUUUUGUUUCCUUUCAUUUCCCUUCCCUUCCCUUCCCUUUUCUUCCGUCUUUUACUUAGCUUUCUUUACAUUCCCUUUCCUUGUUUUCCAUUCCUUAGUUUUCCUUCUUUUCUCUUUUCUUUCUCUCUCCUUUCUUGUUUUUCCUGUCCUUUUUUUUUGUCUCCCUUUCUUCCUCUUUCCUUUCCUUAUCUUCCCUUCCGUUUCCUCUCCUAUCCACUCCCUUUCAUUAUCUAUAUUUUCCAUCCCUUUCCUUCCCCUAUUUUGCUUUUUUUAGCUUUGUUUCUCUUUCCUUCCCUUCUCUUCCCUUCUCUUUCCUUUUCUCUUAUCCCCUUCUCUAUCCUUCCCCCUCCUCCUCUUCCCUUCCCUUCCCUUCCCAUCCCUUCGGUUCCAAUACCAUCUGUCUUGCAUUGAGAGAUAAGCUUCUUCCACGCCCUGUCUUCCCUUCCCUUGCCUUCUCUCCCCUCUCCUCUCCCCUAUGAUGCACUCUCCCUCCUCCUCCUCCUCCUCCUCCUCCUCCUCCUCCCCUUCCUGCUCCCCCGCCCACCAGCUUCUAGUUAAACAAAGCGAACUGAAGAGCUUGAUUCAGGAUUCCUCCCUCAUGUCUUCCUCCCCACCCCCACCCCCUCCUCCUCCUCCUCCUCCUCCUCCCCUCGUGUCUAGUAUCAAUGUAUCCCGGAACAGCCCGAUUGUUUCCUCCUUUUUUUUCCCCGAUCGCUAAAGAUUUUUUCCCCCACUUUUUACAAACGUUUUUUUUUUUAGUUUUUUGUUUUUUUGUUUACGUUUGAAAAUAAAAGAGAACUAUGCCGUGAAGAAUAGGAACCCAAAAAAGAAAAGAAAUAAAGAAAAAGAGGUUGAUGGGAAGUUAGGAAAAGUAAGGGAAAGGAAGGUUAGGAAUAUAGAAAAUGGGAAAGAAAGGUUAGGAAUAUAGAAAAUGGGAAAGGAAGGUUAGGAAUAUAGAAAAUGGGAGAGAAAGGUUAGGAAUAUAGAAAAUGGGAAAGAAAGGUUAGGAAUAUAGAAAAUGGGAAAGAAAGGUUAGGAAUAUAGAAAAUGGGAGAGAAAGGUUAGGAAUAUAGAAAAUGGGAGAGAAAGGUUAGGAAUAUAGAAAAUGGGACACAGAUUAGGGAAGUGAUUGAAGGGUAACUGUUUUUAUUUGUUGAUCAGUGUCACAAUAGAUAGAUUUCUGGUUAGGCCUAUCUUAGAUCUACAUAGCUUUCCCCUCCUCCUCCUCCUCCUCCUCCUCCUCUCUCCCUCCUCAGCCAUCUCUCCCCCUUCUCCUCCUCCUCCUCCUUUCCCCUCUUCUCACUUUCAUCCAGUUUCCCCUUUAUUACUUCCAUUUUCUUUCGUCUUCACUUCCUAUCUCCUCUUUCCCCUUCCUCCUCCUCCUCUUUUUUUUUCCUUCUUUAUGCAUCUCCCAUUCUCCUCCUCCUUUCCCCUCUUUCAAUUCUUUAUCUUCCUUUCCUUCUCUUUCGUAUCUGCUUCCUAUCUUUCAUUUUCCCCUCUUCUGCCUUUCCUUCCUCCUCCUCCUCCUUUUUUCUCCUCUUGAAGUAUCUCCCUUCGCCUCAUUUCUCCUCUUCUCGCAUUUUUUCUUCUCCAUUCUCUCUCUUUCGUAUUUGCUUUCUCUCUUUCAUUUUCUCCUCUGUUUCCUUUCUCCUCCUCCUCCUCAUCAUCAUCAUCAUCCUUUUUUCUCCUCUUCAAGUAUCUCCCUUCGCCUCAUUUCCCCUCUUCUCUCUCGCCUUUUUUCUUCUCCAUUUUCUCUUUCAUUUUCUCCUCUUCUGUCGUUUCCUUUCUCCUCCUCCUCAUCAUCCCCCUUCUCCUCCUCCCUUCAUGCUUCUCCCCUCCUCCUCCUUCUCACGUUUCCCUCUUCCCCUCCUUCCUCCCCUCCUCUGUCGUAUCCUCUUCCUCUCUCUCCUUUCUCCACUUAGAAAAACAGUCAGGCACUUUUCAUUUCCCCUUCCUCCCCCCUCUUCCUUCUCAUCUGUUUUAGUGAUUUCCUUUUCCUCCUCCCUCAUUUCUUCUCUCCUCCCAUCCAAAAAAUAUACUGGUUUCUCUUGUUUCUCCCAUUUUUUCCUUUCUCUUUCUGACUUUAAAAAUGAUAGGUCCCUCCCCUCUCUCCCCUUCUCCCGUCACCGGCCACAUAUCACCUGCUUUUCCCUUCUUCUCGUCAGUUAGUCAGUCAGUCAGUCAGUUAGUCAGUCAAUCAGUCAGUCAAUUAGUCAUUCAAUCAGUAAAUCAGUCAGAAAGUCAGUCAGUCAGUCAAUCAGUCAGUCAGUUAGUCAGUCAAUCAGUAAAUUAGUCAGAAAGUCAGUUAGUCAGUUAGUCAGUCAGUCAGUCAGUCAUUUAUUCAGUCAGUCAAUCAGUUAGUCUGUCAGUCAAUCAAUUAGUCAGUCAGUCAAUCAGUUAGUCAGUUAGUCAAUCAAUUAGUCAGUCAGUCAGUCAGUCAGUUAGUUGGUCAGUCAGUCAAUCAGUAAAUCAGUCAGUCAGUCAGUCAGUCAGUCAGUCAGUCAAUUAUUCAGACGCUAGAAAAUUAUUAAACAAAAAAAUAAUGGGGUUGAUAUCCAUUUAGAAUCUAAUGGAAGUUUUGAAUCAUUAAGAAAAAAGGAAAUAAAAGAUGGCCAGUCAGUUUUUUUUUUUUUUUAAGAGAGGAAAAAUAGCACCUAGUUAGUUCUGCUUUAAAAACUGUCACGAUUUGAGCAUUAAGAUUAAAAAUGAAAGCUGGCCAAAGUGAAUUGCAAGAGAGGAAAUAAAAACCCUCGUAUAUCAUGUUUUUAAAAAGUGGUUAGUUUCCUGGGGGGUUUUUUAGGGGGAAAUAAAGUAAAAUCUAUGGAGGGGUUUUAAAAGUAUAUAUAUUGGGCAUAGUCUACGAUCCCUAACCCAUAAAAGUGUAGCCUCGUAUGUGUGUGUGUGUGUGUGUGUGUGUGUGUGUGUGUGUGUGUGUGUAUGACAGGGGAAGUCGAGGAGUCCAGCCCGGGUGUCUGUCUCUGUCUGUCUCGUCAAAGGUCAGUCAGUAAGUCGUUUUGUUAAGUCGUUGUGGUGUUUUAGCUGUUCUUGUUGUCGUCAUUGUCCAGUCAACGUUAUCAUCGGCUUUACUGUUGUUGUUUUUAAUGCUGUUGUCGCCGUCCUUAUUGGUAACUGUCGCUGUUCUUGUCGUCUUGGUCGUGUUUGCUGUUGUGGUUGUCGUUAUUCAGUCUUCCGUGGUCGUCGUCAUCAUUUUUUGUCAUUAUCGUCCGUCCAAAUCUUGCCCAGCAGUCGUCACAAACACUAUUGCCAGUUCGACGACUCUACCUUGGCCGCAACUCCACUUUGGGCAUCAGCAACACUGUAUUAUGUCAGUGGCGGUGUUGCAAUGUUUGUGUUGCACGGAUGUAUGCUCUGUUCAUGAUACCUUGGCGAAUAGGCCCCGCCCACA